rnacentral:tmRNA from 1 species
CCGCUACCGGUAAGGCGCCAUUGAAGGAGACUGCCGCUGCGUACGUGGGCGUGUAUGACGUAGCGAAAGACUGAACCGCUAUGGCACUGGUCUCGUGGGUCACCAGACCAAAUCAGUGCCGAGAACCAACUGGUGACUGAGCCUGGAGAUGCCUCCCGGGGGGCUGUUGUGGACCGGAGUUCGAUUCUCCGCGCCUCCACCA